AUAUUGGGUGGGUUUAACCCAACACGUAGGCAUAUGGGAGAAACAAUCAGCGAUCGACACGUGGCGCCACGUUGGCGAGGGCGUCAGGGCGUUCAAAAUUCGCGCGGGCCGACCACUCUGACGCUCCCUCUGCUCUGCUCUGCGACGCCUGCGCCUGUCAAAAUCGUCCUCUCUCUCCUCUCUCUCUCCCCCGUUCUCCGUUCCGUUCCGUUGCGGGGGAGAACAAAACUCUUUACGAAAGCUGCUUCUCUCCCCCUCCUCUGCUCUCUCUCUCCAUUCUCGCCGACGAUCUCUCUCUCUCCAUUCUCGACUUCGACGCCCUCUCGGGACUCCGACGCUCCGACGCUCCUCAAGGCGGUUGCCUCCAACGCCGACGACGCCGCCUCCGCCUCCACCCCGACGCCCUCUCACGACUCCGUCGCCCCCGACUCCGACGCCGACGCCCACCUCCGCCUCCGCCUCGGCCGACGCCCUUUCCACCUCCGCCGAAGCCUCGACCGAUCGUUCGGCUGCGGACUCUGCUAAUAUCUCACAGCGUCCUCGUCAGUGUCAUCUGCUGCGUUGCUGGGGUUCUGGCUCUGCUUUUGCUGCCGAUUCUCACCGAGAACACCUACAUUCCAGAAAACGCCCUCAUGCCAGGUCGAUACUCGUCACUAAAGUGAUGCCCUCGACCAGUGAAAAUUUAAGGCCAAGAUUGGAGCUUGACCGUUCUGCUGCGUGGAUUGGGAUUAAAUCAUUGUAGGAUUGGGUUUCUAGAGCCUCCAGCAUUGGAAGAAGGGAUAUUGGAGUCCUAUUCUAUUUUUCUUGAUGUUGUUCUUAACCAAGUCUCCAGUGAUUCUCCUGUAUUCUCUCAUGCGAUCACUUGCUUUUAGCUUCUCUUUGAAAUGCUUGGUUUGUUGCUUUCUUUUGAUUUGUCCUUUCAAGGAACAAAAGCAAUAUUGUUGCCAUUAUAGGAGUCUCAUUUUUCUCCUCCUUUUUGCAUUUGGUGUUGCUUUAAGGUUGUAAGCUAUGGUUGAGGUCUGCCUUAUCUCCAAGCAUCAUGCGAAGCACACUUGUUGGGCAGUGUUUCCAUUCUCGUAAUGAAAAAAUUCAUAAGGAUAUCUUUGAACUUUUCCAGCCACUUUUUCAG